rnacentral:rRNA from 1 species
AUAACGAGCGCAACCCUACCUUUAGUUGCCAUCAGGUAAUGCUGGGGACUCUAAGGAACUGCCUACGCAAGUAGUGAGGAAGCGGGGAUGACGUCAAAUCAGCACGGCCCUUACGUCCAGGGCUACACACGUGCUACAAUGGCCGAUACAGAGGGCAGCUACCUGGUGACAGGAUGCAAAUCUCCAAAGUCGGUCUCAGUUCGGAUCGGAGUCUGCAACCCGACUCCGUGAAGUUGGAUUCGCUAGUAAUCGCGCAUCAGCCAUGGCGCGGUGAAUACGUUCCCGGGCCUU